rfam:Arthroderma gypseum CBS 118893 supercont1.19 mitochondrial scaffold, whole genome shotgun sequence.
AAGGCUAUAGCUUAAUGGUAAAGCCAACUGCUCAUAAUAGUUUUUAUAAAUGUUCGAAUCAUUUUAGUCUUA